rnacentral:misc_RNA from 1 species
GCCAGAAUUAGGUUUCUUUCUGCUUUUAUCUUUCUUCCUUAUUUCCUCUAAAAUCUUCUUUCUUGUUCCCUGAAAUUUCUUCCCUUUCUUUCCCUUCUGUUUCUUUGCUCUAUUUCUUCUUCUUGGCAAAAACCUGUUCUUGAAAUCCUUUUCUUCUCCUCCUCCUUCCUUUUUAGUUAAUCUCUCUUUCUAGUAUAUUCUUCCUUUCUUAUGACUCC